rnacentral:rRNA from 1 species
UACGGGAGGCAGCAGUGGGGAAUAUUGCACAAUGGGCGAAAGCCUGAUGCAGCUAUGCCGCGUGUAUGAAGAAGGCCUUAGGGUUGUAAAGUACUUUCAUCGGGGAGGAAAAAACAAAACUAAUAAUUUUAUUUCUUGACGUUACCCGAAAAAGAAGCACCGGCUAACUCCGUGCCAGCAGCCGCGGUAAUACGGAGGGUGCUAGCGUUAAUCAGAAUUACUGGGCGUAAAGAGCACGUAGGUGGUUUUUUUAAAGUCAGAUGUGAAAUCCCUGGGCUUAACCUAGGAACUGCAUUUUGAAACUGAAAUACUAGAGUAUCGUAGAGGGAGGUAGAAUUCUAGGUGUAGCGGUGAAAUGCGUAGAUAUCUGGAGGAAUACCUGUGGCGAAAGCGGCCUCCUAAACGAAUACUGACACUGAGGGUGCGAAAAGCGUGGGGAGCAAAACAGGGAUUAGAUACC